rnacentral:lncRNA from 1 species
GUUAUGAUCAACUCAGUAUACCACUGGAGGCUACAGGAGCAAACAGCAAACUGUUUCUCAUGAAAGCAGGAUGUUCAAAGCAGGAUGUUGGCAAAAUGACAAACUGCAUCUGCCACCCAGAAGGAAUGCUGAGGGCAGUCAUGCCCCAAGUGCAGUGUUUUUGUGAUUAGGCACAACUGAAGCUUGUUAGCAAUAAUAUGACCCUGUGAUUAAUUGAGCGGCUGACCAAUCAUUACCUCCUCCUCCCUGCUCUUUCUACCCAAUAAAUACAAAGGGCUGUGGAAGCUCAAUGGGCUGCCUUUGCUCAUUAGAAGCAGGGAGCUCUCUUCUUCUUCCCCUGGAUCCUUCCUUUAAAAUAGUUUCUUUUGUCUUAAGUUUUCAUUUCUACGUUUGUCCCUUCAUUCAGUCUCUUAAAUGACGGUCUCAAGCAGUAACAGUAGUAAUUGCUGUAAUGACGGUCUCAAGUAGUAACCAGGGCACUCUGCCACAAGUGGCACCUGAACAGGGACUAACAGGGACUAUCAAGAACAAACGGAGACCUGAAGAGACCUGAAGGGAACUGAAGAGGUCUGCAGGGACAAAUAGAGAUAAGUAGGGAUAAAUAGAGAUAAAUAGAGACAAAUAGAGAUAGGUAAGGAAUGACAGGGACUUGCAGGAAGUAACAGGGACCAUAGGGACAGAUAGGGAUAGAUAAAGACUAGCAAAGACUAGCCGAGAUUAGCAAAGACCAGCAAGGACUAGCAGAGACUAGCAAAGACUAGCAGAAACUUGCAGGGACAGGCAGAGACAGAUAGGGACAGAUAGGGUCCUACAGGGACUUGAACGAGGAAGAUCUGCUGGAAAAGAAAAGAACUACAACCAACCAGAUGAACAAGAAACCCUGUUACAAGUCUGCUGGCAGCAACAUAAGGGUAUGCUUGUUUUUGCAGGAAAUGAACAAAAAGUGUGGGUGCCCCCAAGGUGUGUACUACCAUGGAAUGGGAGAUUGGAGGGACACAUGGAUCCCAACCGUGGGCCUGGUUCCCCCAGUAUGAGCUGAAUACGAAGACAGAACAAACCACCAACCGGCAAUUGAAGUAAAUGAUAGCUCCUUACAAAUACAGAGGACAAAAUAAAAGUGACUUAAUUAUAAAAACACAGUGACACAAAGUGAACCGGGUUCUAUAAAUUACCAUGGAAAGUGGUGAGCCAACGAUUUGGCAGAACAAAACCCUGAGGAUAUGCAAACAAAAGGGACUAUGGAAUUUGCAAUUGCAGAUUAAAAUUGAAGAAGAAAACAUUUGAGUUGCAAAUACCGUAUUAAAAGUGGACACUGCUUAUGACUGCUGUAUGCAACAGUUUUUCAGGCCCGAGGUGAUAAAUAAAAAAUUGUUUGCUCUAUUUAACCAUUGAAUGCUUGGACUACUUUUGUAUCCUUAAGAUGUGAAGUGUUCUUCACUAGAAGUAAACAUUAAGGUCAUUUACCAUUGAUUGCUUAAGGCUAGUAAAUACGUUUAAGGAGUUUUAAAGCUUUACUUUGGGAGAAGUCAGGACCAGACAGCUUAAUAAAGCCACUCUGUGUGGGACCAUGACUAAGUUUUGUUGUGUUUACAGACAUUUUGUCACAGAAUCAAAGUUAACUUUUUUUUUUAAUUCUCUUUGCCACAGAGGAACCCAGACAUGCUCUAUUUGCAAACCGACUGCAUGAAACAAAAAGCACGGUAAUUCUGAAGCUGUUGGCUUGGAUGAAAUGAGAAUGUAAUUAAAAAGAAAAAGGUUAGCAAAAGAACAUGCUGGGAAUUGAAAAUAAAAAUCUGAAAUGAUGUCCCAGCCUGCCCUUAAGGUCUUUUCCACCAUGUAGAGAGCUACCUCAAAUGCUCUACUUGUCCCAGAGUCUAUGUUCUUUCACUACUAUUGCCUAUAUCUGUGUUUUCUGCUUUCAAUAAUCUAUUGAAAUAAUCAAAAUUAAUUACAUUCAGCAUUUUUUCUGUAUUACUCUGAUUCUAAUAAUUACCUCAAAUUUAUUUGUGCAUUUCUAUACUAGAAAGAAAAAAUAAUUUUUAGAGUUUUACUAUAUCUUCCCCUUAAUUCUAAGUUGCUUGUCACUAAUUCCUUUCCCAACACUAUGUUAUUUCCACCAAGAACAUUACCAAUAUCUUCAGGAAAAUUCCACCCCAUAUUUUAAGCCAGAUUGAUUAUUGGGAAUAUAAAUACAUUUAAGAAGGAAAGUCUUUUUGACUGUGUUUCUCCACAGACCAAUAGUAUACAAAACACAGAAGGCUUUUAAGCACAUUUCAUAGGGAUCACUGACUUAGAACAGAAGGAACCAUUUCGUGAAACACUCUCAUUUUGCACAUAAAGGAGCUGUGGCCCACAGAGGAAUAUGAUUUACUGAGAGUGACCCAGUUAGUGGCCAUAAACCAAAAGCCCCAAGAUGCUAAAUGUUUGUUAUGAAGAGUAAAAAUCCUCCCAGUUUAUAAGAAGUAACUUCAUCCUUCCAUUUUCUAUUUCCACGAUGACUCCCCUGGCUUAAAUUUUAAUCUCUAUUUUGGAUGACUCCAAAAUCUCAUUCUUCUAAAUUAAUUAUCUAAUACCACAAUGUUGCACUUAUCUUCCUACAAAUCUACUUUCAUCUGCCUUGACAAAGCCAACCCUAAUUUUCUCUAGUCCUCAUUAGAAAUUAUUGCAACAAAAAUUCACAUCCAGUCUGAAGUUUGGGAGCCAGAAAAGAAUUUUCCCAUUAAGAUGAGACAGUAUCAAUUAUUAAGCAGAGGAAGACACAAGAGGGAAAGCAGCUUUCACAUGAAAAAAAAAGAACUCUGAUUUUCUGACACAUUUUGUCAUUGCAGUCAAACUUUCAGAGUUAGAACUAGAGACCUAGAUAUUAGCUAACCCAGCAUUUUCCAAGUAUUCCUCGGAACUCUAGAGGCACAGCAUAGUACUGGUAAUGAUUUUGUGGCAGGAUAGAUUAAGGAAACCUCACAGUUAUACCAAGUUAAAUUCAUUUAUUUCAUGUAAAAUUCUGAUAGCCUUUUAUGCUACUAGGCCUAGUGAUACUCCAAAAUUAUUGGCCAUAUAUCUGAAAUUUAUUUCAGCAAGAAACCCUUUAAAGAGCAUCCCGCAGAGUUAGUGUUUUGAGGGAUAUCAUUGGGGAAAAUGCUGAUCUAGACCAAUUCAACAAAUUGUAACUUAGUUAACACCAGAGUCAAAACAAAAACCAAGUCUACUCAUGUCUGUCUUAGGCCCUUUUGGUCACAAAAACACGUUCAAACCACUUCAAUUAAGAAAAUGGUGAGAGGGGAAAAGACAAGCAGGGAACCUUAUCCCAGGUGGGCUGAUCACAGGACUUCCAAGGCUGUCCCUUAGAAGAGUCACGAUAAUGGCAUCUCUAGCACAAAACUCAAAUUUAGUUUUAAUUCUUAGUCGAAUAAUAAUACAGUAAAAUUUAUUGCAUGCAUAAGGAUAAUACAUUAAAACUACUUAAAUUACAUUUUAGGGCCGGGCGCGGUGGCUCACGCCUGUAAUCCCAGCACUUUGGGAGGCCGAGGCGGGUGGAUCACGAGGUCAGGA